rnacentral:rRNA from 1 species
GCGUGUGACUGCGUACCUUUUGUAUAAUGGGUCAGCGACUUAUAUUCUGUAGCAAGGUUAACCGAAUAGGGGAGCCGAAGGGAAACCGAGUCUUAACUGGGCGUUAAGUUGCAGGGUAUAGACCCGAAACCCGGUGAUCUAGCCAUGGGCAGGUUGAAGGUUGGGUAACACUAACUGGAGGACCGAACCGACUAAUGUUGAAAAAUUAGCGGAUGACUUGUGGCUGGGGGUGAAAGGCCAAUCAAACCGGGAGAUAGCUGGUUCUCCCCGAAAGCUAUUUAGGUAGCGCCUCGUGAAUUCAUCUCCGGGGGUAGAGCACUGUUUCGGCAAGGGGGUCAUCCCGACUUACCAACCCGAUGCAAACUGCGAAUACCGGAGAAUGUUAUCACGGGAGACACACGGCGGGUGCUAACGUCCGUCGUGAAGAGGGAAACAACCCAGACCGCCAGCUAAGGUCCCAAAGUCAUGGUUAAGUGGGAAACGAUGUGGGAAGGCCCAGACAGCCAGGAUGUUGGCUUAGAAGCAGCCAUCAUUUAAAGAAAGCGUAAUAGCUCACUGGUCGAGUCGGCCUGCGCGGAAGAUGUAACGGGGCUAAACCAUGCACCGAAGCUGCGGCAGCGACGCUGAUGCGUUGUUGGGUA